rnacentral:rRNA from 1 species
GAUGAACGCUGGCGGCGUGCCUAAUACAUGCAAGUCGAGCGAACAGACGAGGAGCUUGCUCCUCUGACGUUAGCGGCGGACGGGUGAGUAACACGUGGAUAACCUACCUAUAAGACUGGGAUAACUUCGGGAAACCGGAGCUAAUACCGGAUAAUAUAUUGAACCGCAUGGUUCAAUAGUGAAAUACGGUUUUUCUGUCACUUAUAGAUUGAUCCGCGCCGCAUUAGCUAGUUGGUAAGGUAACGGCUUACCAAGGCAACGAUGCGUAGCCGACCUGAGAGGGUGAUCGGCCACCCUGGAACUGAGACACGGCCCAGACUCCUACGGGAGGCAGCAGUAGGGAAUCUUCCGCAAUGGGCGAAAGCCUGACGGAGCAACGCCGCGUGAGUGAUGAAGGUCUUCGGAUCGUAAAACUCUGUUAUUAGGGAAGAACAAAUGUGUAAGUAACUAUGCACGUCUUGACGGUACCUAAUCAGAAAGCCACGGCUAACUACGUG